rnacentral:rRNA from 1 species
AUGAGAGUUUGAUCCUGGCUCAGGACGAACGCUGGCGGCGUGCCUAAUACAUGCAAGUAGAACGCUGAGGUUUGGUGUUUACACUAGACUGAUGAGUUGCGAACGGGUGAGUAACGCGUAGGUAACCUGCCUCAUAGCGGGGGAUAACUAUUGGAAACGAUAGCUAAUACCGCAUAAGAGUAAUUAACACAUGUUGGUUAUUUAAAAGGAGCAAUUGCUUCACUGUGAGAUGGACCUGCGUUGUAUUAGCUAGUUGGUGAGGUAAAGGCUCACCAAGGCGACGAUACAUAGCCGACCUGAGAGGGUGAUCGGCCACACUGGGACUGAGACACGGCCCAGACUCCUACGGGAGGCAGCAGUAGGGAAUCUUCGGCAAUGGACGGAAGUCUGACCGAGCAACGCCGCGUGAGUGAAGAAGGUUUUCGGAUCGUAAAGCUCUGUUGUUAGAGAAGAACGUUGGUAGGAGUGGAAAAUCUACCAAGUGACGGUAACUAACCAGAAAGGGACGGCUAACUACGUGCCAGCAGCCGCGGUAAUACGUAGGUCCCGAGCGUUGUCCGGAUUUAUUGGGCGUAAAGCGAGCGCAGGCGGUUCUUUAAGUCUGAAGUUAAA